rnacentral:rRNA from 1 species
GGAUGCGAUCAUACCAGCACUAAAGCACCGGAUCCCAUCAGAACUCCGAAGUUAAGCGUGCUUGGGCGAGAGUAGUACUAGGAUGGGUGACCUCCUGGGAAGUCCUCGUGUUGCAUUCCA